CGGAGGGUGCAAGCGUUAUCCGGAUUCACUGGGUUUAAAGGGUGCGUAGGUGGACUGGUAAGUCCGUGGUGAAAUCCCUGAGCUUAACUUGGGAACUGCCAUUGAUACUAUUAGUCUUGAAUAUCGUGGAGGUAAGCGGAAUAUGUCAUGUAGCGGUGAAAUGCUUAGAUAUGACAUAGAACACCAAUUGCGAAGGCAGCUUGCUACACGGUCAUUGACACUGAGGCACGAAAGCGUGGGGAGACAAACAGGAUU
rnacentral:rRNA from 1 species